GAAUCACAGGAAAUAAUUUAGACGGUAUGUUAUGAAAACACAAAAAAAAUUAAAGUAGCUGUUAAGGGAAAAUAUAUGGUAGAAAGCUAAUUAAGGGAAAGUGAUCUCACUUCUCUAGUGAAUAGAAACUGAUCCUCCUG